UACGGAGGGUGCGAGCGUUAAUCGGAAUGACUGGGCGUAAAGGGUGCGUAGGUGGUUUAGUAAGCUAACUGUAAAAUACCUGUGCUUAACAUGGGGGAGUGAGUUAAUACUGCUAGACUAGAGUGUGGUAGAGGGUAGUGGAAUUUCCGGUGUAGCGGUGAAAUGCGUAGAUAUCGGAAGGAACACCGGUGGCGAAGGCGACUACCUGGGCCAAGACUGACACUGAGGCACGAAAGCGUGGGGAGCAAACAGG
rnacentral:rRNA from 1 species